UACGGAGGGUGCAAACGUUGCUCGGAAUCAUUGGGCGUAAAGCGCACGUAGGCGGCGCGUUAAGUCGGGUGUGAAAGCCCUGGGCUCAACCCAGGAAGUGCAUUCGAAACUGGCGCGCUUGAAUAUGGAAGAGGGUCGCGGAAUUCCCGGUGUAGAGGUGAAAUUCGUAGAUAUCGGGAGGAACACCAGUGGCGAAGGCAGCUCGCUGGGACGGUACUGACGCUGAGACGCGAAAGCGUGGGGAGCAAACAGGG
rnacentral:rRNA from 1 species